GAAGGAACUGGGUGGGCCAAAUUUAAAUAAACACAUAGCACUAUCUUUUCUCACUGUUAAAUAUGGCUCUCUGACAACAGUGAUGCUACCCUGAGUUACCUCUCUUCUGUAUUUUCCCAGAUCUCACUUGGUUGACCUUAGGCAAGUCAUAUCACCUCUCUGUGCCUCAAUUAAUCCAUUUGCAAAAUGGGGAUCUCAAUAUCUACCUCACAGGAAUGUUGUGAGGCUUCUCAUAAAUUGAUUUUGGCAAAAAUGAAAGAUCUUUAAGUGAACAACCAAGUAUUAUAACCAUUGUUAUAAUGAUAGUUAUAGUACCUUAUAUUUACCCUAUGUAAAAGAGAAGAUUAGGCUUCCUAGGUGAUAAACAGAUAAAUUUGAGUAAGAAGGAUAAUUAAAGAGUGGCCACUGGAAGCAAUAUUAUUUAUUCUCUUACUUUCACUUUCCCUAUAUCUUCUUUGUUACUAACAAUACGAUUAUCAUCUGUUUCCAUACUUGAAAUGUAUUAGGACCUAAAGGAAGAGGUAGGCAAAAUUCAUUGCUUCAGAAGCUGUAUUCUUCCCCCUUUGUAACUCUGCUUGGACCACAUUCCAUGUCACAUUCUCAGAAGCACAAAGGCAAUUUUCCAGAGCCCUUUAAGCUUUGGCCAGUUCAGUUUCACCACUUAUAUUUUCUCUUUCCCAACUUACUUUACUCUGAAUAGUAUAGGUAGGAGGAGGGAAGUUGGGUAGGGUGGUUGGGGGUGGGAGUGGGUUGGAAGAGGAUGGGAUUUAUACCAGUGGCAGGAUAUUUCUCUGUUUUCCAAACACUGGUUUUAAUUUCCAUUUCCUUUUCUGGUGUUGGGGUGGGGUCAGGGGAAGAGAUACUAUUUUGUUAACUGUUAAAAGCUCUCCUUCCUUUCCUAGAGUCGCUACAAGUAGCUGUGUUGGACAUUACUUUAUAACUAUGCUGUAUGCCAUGCUGUUUUCAUUGUAUCACAGAAUUAAAAGGGGAAGAGAGUUCCUAGUGGUGUCCAUCCCUGUUUUUUGACAGGCAGUCACACAGUGUCUGUUGAAGUCUAUAGUGGAUGCUAUCAUGUGCCGCCCAGAUACCCCUCUCCAGGACAGAAGCACUCAUUGUCAAGCUACUGAGAGUGUUGGCAACAGAUACAUCUCAGCUGAAUUUCUCCCCAAGAUAGGGCUGACCAAAAUGUACAUACCUUUCUCAGGGUCAGCCUGCAUCCAAUAGCUGUUUGAUGUGAGUAUAUAAAGGCCCUGACCUCCAUCCCAAUUCAGGAUGGCUUUGAAGGGCCAUUCUAGCUCCAGAACCCCCAUAGGAUUGUCUGAGGUCUUUGCUGUGACUGAAUUGCAG
rnacentral:lncRNA from 1 species